GUCCUGUCUUCUGCCCCUUCCUCCUCUCAAAGCUGAGUGGGAAGGGGCUUCACACAAAGAUCAGGAAAGCUUGACGUAUGGCUAGUGAACUUUAGGAGGGAGAGGUACUGGGAUGUGGCUCAACCAGAGAAAAUCCCAGGUCAAAUGAAGUCAGACAGCAAAGGUGAUUGAAUUUUCAAUCUUGAAAAUACAUCAUGGAACCUGAUUUUCCAAAGAAGUGAUUCAAACUGAACAGCAAGGAAGCUUAACUUAUUGCUGCCUGUCUCAGAACUCAAGCUCACACUUCUCUUUUCUUCAAAUACUCGCCUGUUUCUAACAAUCUGCCCACUGCUCUGGGUCCCGAUGCCUCGACGCUGCAUCUUGCUGCCCCGGUACUCUCUUUAACCUCAGGAGAAGAAUCCCCACCUCGUGUCACUAGAAUGUGGAACAGAGAAGAAGGAAGAGCUGACAUAGUACAGACCAAGAAGAUUUUAAAAACAAACAAACAAACAAACAAACAAAACCACAUCCAGUUCCAUCAGCCACACCUGGCAGUAAAGCCCUCAGUGGCCAACUCAGCAGUCCCACUUUGAUUCUUCUUAGACGGCAGCAUCUUCUUAGAUAAUGCUGUGCCUGAUGCACAGUAGAAGCUUAAUAAAUACUAUGACAAAUUAAUGUCUUUACUGAUUAUAUAUAGUUUUCUGGGUGAGAGCAAUGAAGAUAAUCCUAUGUCUUCCUUAAUCCAGGCAACAGACAGCUUUCUGUUUAAAAUUUGUGUUCUGGAUAAUCAGGGUAUACAGAAUGCUGAUGUAUUACCAUAGUAUCAAACUACAAUAAGGCAAUGUUAAUCUAGCAA
rnacentral:lncRNA from 1 species